GGAAUAUAGGACAAUGGGCGCAAGCCUGAUCCAGCAAUGCCGCGUGUGUGAAGAAGGCCUUCGGGUUGUAAAGCCCUUUAAGUUGGGAGGAAAGCCUUUGUGUUAAUAGCACAGAGGGGUGACGUUACCAACAGAAUAAGCACCGACUAACUCCGGGCCCGUAGCCGCGGUAAUACGGAGGGUGCAAGCGUUCAUCGGAAUUACUGGGCGUAAAGCGCGCGUAGGCGGUUUGUUAAGUCAGAUGUGAAAUCCCCGGGCUCAACCUGGGAAUGGCAUUUGAGACUGGCAGGCUAGAGUGUGGUAGAGGUGAGUGGAAUUUCAGGUGUAGCGGUGAAAUGCGUAGAGAUCUGAAGGAACAUCAGUGGCGAAGGCGACUCACUGGGCCAUUACUGACGCUGAGGUGCGAAAGCGUGGGUAGCAAAC
rnacentral:rRNA from 1 species